ACUCAAAUGAAUUGACGGGGGCUUGCACAAGCGGUGGAGCAUGUGGUUUAAUUUGAUAGUACGCAAAAAACCUUACCAGUUUUUGAUAUAAAAUUUUUAUAAAAUUUUACAGGUGUUGCAUGGCUGUCGUAAGUUCGUGUUGUGAAAUGUAUGGUUAAGUCCUUUUUAAACGAACGCAACCCUUAUUUUUAAUUGCUAACAUUUUAGUUGAGCUCUUUAAAAAAACUACUUAUUAAAUGUAAGAGGAAGGUGAGGAUAACGUCAAGUCAGUAUGGCCCUUAUAAACUGGGCUACACACGUGCUACAAUGAAGUUAACAAAAAGGAGCAAUAUUGUGAAAUGGAGCAAAUCUUUAAAUAUCUUCUUAGUUCAGAUUAUUCUCUGAAAUUCGAGAAUAUGAAGUAGGAAUCGCUAGUAAUCGUAAAUCAGCAUGUUACGGUGAAUGUGUACUCAAGCCUUGUACACACCGCCCGU
rnacentral:rRNA from 1 species